rnacentral:snRNA from 1 species
AUACUUACCUGGCAGGGGAGGUAUCAUGAUCACAAACGUGGUUUUCCUUGGGCAAGGCUUAUCCGUUGCACUCCAGAUGUGCUGACCCCAAAUAUGAGAAAACUGCAUAAUUUGUGACAGUAGGGGACUGUGUUCACAUUCUCCCCUG